AGAGUUUGAUCAUGGCUCAGAACGAACGCUGGCGGCAGGCUUAACACAUGCAAGUCGAGCGGGUGUAGCAAUACAUCAGCGGCAGACGGGUGAGUAACGCGUGGGAACAUACCUUUUGGUUCGGAACAACCCAGGGAAACUUGGGCUAAUACCGGAUAAGCCCUUACGGGGAAAGAUUUAUCGCCGAAAGAUUGGCCCGCGUCUGAUUAGCUAGUUGGUGAGGUAAUGGCUCACCAAGGCGACGAUCAGUAGCUGGUCUGAGAGGAUGAUCAGCCACAUUGGGACUGAGACACGGCCCAAACUCCUACGGGAGGCAGCAGUGGGGAAUAUUGGACAAUGGGGGCAACCCUGAUCCAGCCAUGCCGCGUGAGUGAUGAAGGCCUAGGGUUGUAAAGCUCUUUUGUGCGGGAAGAAAUGACGGUACGCAAGAUAAGCCCCGGCUAACUUCGUGCCAGCAGCCGCGGUAAUACGAAGGGGGCUAGCGUUGCUCGGAAUCACUGGGCGUAAAGGGUGCGUAGGCGGGUCUUUAAGUCAGGGGUGAAAUCCUGGAGCUCAACUCCAGAACUGCCUUUGAUACUGAGGAUCUUGAGUCCGGGAGAGGUGAGUGGAACUGCGAGUGUAGAGGUGAAAUUCGUAGAUAUUCGCAAGAACACCAGUGGCGAAGGCGGCUCACUGGCCCGGUACUGACGCUGAGGCACGAAAGCGUGGGGAGCAAACAGGAUUAGAUACCCUAGUAGUCC
rnacentral:rRNA from 1 species